UACGUAGGGAGCAAGCGUUGUCCGGAUUUACUGGGUGUAAAGGGUGCGUAGGCGGCUAUGCAAGUCAGUUGUGAAAACUAUGGGCUCAACCCAUAGCCUGCAAUUGAAACUGCGUGGCUUGAGUGAAGUAGAGGUAGGUGGAAUUCCCGGUGUAGCGGUGAAAUGCGUAGAGAUCGGGAGGAACACCAGUGGCGAAGGCGACCUACUGGGCUUUAACUGACGCUGAGGCACGAAAGCAUGGGUAGCAAACAGGAUUAGAUACC
rnacentral:rRNA from 1 species